rnacentral:rRNA from 1 species
GGGUUGUGAGGUUAAGCGACUAAGCGUACACGGUGGAUGCCCUGGCAGUCAGAGGCGAUGAAGGGCGUACUAAUCUGCGAUAAGCGCCGGUAAGGUGAUAUGAACCGUUAUAACCGGCGAUACCCGAAUGGGGAAACCCAGUGUGAUUCGUCACACUAUCAUUAACUGAAUCCAUAGGUUAAUGAGGCGAACCGGGGGAACUGAAACAUCUAAGUACCCCGAGGAAAAGAAAUCAACCGAGAUUCCCCCAGUAGCGGCGAGCGAACGGGGAGGAGCCCAGAGCCUGAAUCAGCAUGUGUGUUAGUGGAAGCGUCUGGAAAGGCGCGCGAUACAGGGUGACAGCCCCGUACACAAAAGCGCAUGUGCUGUGAGCUCGAUGAGUAGGGCGGGACACGUGGUAUCCUGUCUGAAUAUGGGGGGACCAUCCUCCAAGGCUAAAUACUCCUGACUGACCGAUAGUGAACCAGUACCGUGAGGGAAAGGCGAAAAGAACCCCGGCGAGGGGAGUGAAAAAGAACCUGAAACCGUGUACGUACAAGCAGUGGGAGCACAGGUUUACCUGUGUGACUGCGUACCUUUUGUAUAAUGGGUCAGCGACUUAUAUUCUGUAGCAAGGUUAACCGAAUAGGGGAGCCGGAGGGAAACCGAGUCUUAAUUGGGCGUUAAGUUGCAGGGUAUAGACCCGAAACCCGGUGAUCUAGCCAUGGGCAGGUUGAAGGUUGGGUAACACUAACUGGAGGACCGAACCGACUAAUGUUGAAAAAUUAGCGGAUGACCUGUGGCUGGGGGUGAAAGGCCAAUCAAACCGGGAGAUAGCUGGUUCUCCCCGAAAGCUAUUUAGGUAGCGCCUCGUGAAUUCAUCUCCGGGGGUAGAGCACUGUUUCGGCUAGGGGGCCAUCCCGGCUUACCAACCCGAUGCAAACUGCGAAUACCGGAGAAUGUUAUCACGGGAGACACACGGCGGGUGCUAACGUCCGUCGUGAAGAGGGAAACAACCCAGACCGCCAGCUAAGGUCCCAAAGUCAUGGUUAAGUGGGAAACGAUGUGGGAAGGCCCAGACAGCCAGGAUGUUGGCUUAGAAGCAGCCAUCAUUUAAAGAAAGCGUAAUAGCUCACUGGUCGAGUCGGCCUGCGCGGAAGAUGUAACGGGGCUAAACCAUGCACCGAAGCUGCGGCAGCGACGCUUAUGCGUUGUUGGGUAGGGGAGCGUUCUGUAAGCCUGCGAAGGUGGCCUGUGAGGGUUGCUGGAGGUAUCAGAAGUGCGAAUGCUGACAUAAGUAACGAUAAAGCGGGUGAAAAGCCCGCUCGCCGGAAGACCAAGGGUUCCUGUCCAACGUUAAUCGGGGCAGGGUGAGUCGACCCCUAAGGCGAGGCCGAAAGGCGUAGUCGAUGGGAAACGGGUUAAUAUUCCCGUACUUGGUGUUACUGCGAAGGGGGGACGGAGAAGGCUAUGUUGGCCGGGCGACGGUUGUCCCGGUUUAAGCGUGUAGGUGUGUGUUCCAGGUAAAUCCGGUUCACUUUAACACUGAGGCGUGACGACGAGGCACUACGGUGCUGAAGCAACAAAUGCCCUGCUUCCAGGAAAAGCCUCUAAGCAUCAGGUAACAUCAAAUCGUACCCCAAACCGACACAGGUGGUCAGGUAGAGAAUACCAAGGCGCUUGAGAGAACUCGGGUGAAGGAACUAGGCAAAAUGGUGCCGUAACUUCGGGAGAAGGCACGCUGACACGUAGGUGAAGUGAUUUACUCAUGGAGCUGAAGUCAGUCGAAGAUACCAGCUGGCUGCAACUGUUUAUUAAAAACACAGCACUGUGCAAACACGAAAGUGGACGUAUACGGUGUGACGCCUGCCCGGUGCCGGAAGGUUAAUUGAUGGGGUCAGCGCAAGCGAAGCUCCUGAUCGAAGCCCCGGUAAACGGCGGCCGUAACUAUAACGGUCCUAAGGUAGCGAAAUUCCUUGUCGGGUAAGUUCCGACCUGCACGAAUGGCGUAAUGAUGGCCAGGCUGUCUCCACCCGAGACUCAGUGAAAUUGAACUCGCUGUGAAGAUGCAGUGUACCCGCGGCAAGACGGAAAGACCCCGUGAACCUUUACUAUAGCUUGACACUGAACAUUGAGCCUUGAUGUGUAGGAUAGGUGGGAGGCUUUGAAGUGUGGACGCCAGUCUGCAUGGAGCCGACCUUGAAAUACCACCCUUUAAUGUUUGAUGUUCUAACGUGGACCCGUUACCCGGGUUGCGGACAGUGUCUGGUGGGUAGUUUGACUGGGGCGGUCUCCUCCUAAAGAGUAACGGAGGAGCACGAAGGUUGGCUAAUCCUGGUCGGACAUCAGGAGGUUAGUGCAAUGGCAUAAGCCAGCUUGACUGCGAGCGUGACGGCGCGAGCAGGUGCGAAAGCAGGUCAUAGUGAUCCGGUGGUUCUGAAUGGAAGGGCCAUCGCUCAACGGAUAAAAGGUACUCCGGGGAUAACAGGCUGAUACCGCCCAAGAGUUCAUAUCGACGGCGGUGUUUGGCACCUCGAUGUCGGCUCAUCACAUCCGGGGCUGAAGUAGGUCCCAAGGGUAUGGCUGUUCGCCAUUUAAAGUGGUACGCGAGCUGGGUUUAGAACGUCGUGAGACAGUUCGGUCCCUAUCUGCCGUGGGCGCUGGAGAACUGAGGGGGGCUGCUCCUAGUACGAGAGGACCGGAGUGGACGCAUCACUGGUGUUCGGGUUGUCAUGCCAAUGGCACUGCCCGGUAGCUAAAUGCGGAAGAGAUAAGUGCUGAAAGCAUCUAAGCACGAAACUUGCCCCGAGAUGAGUUCUCCCUGAGACUUAGAGUCUCCUGAAGGAACGUUGAAGACGACGACGUUGAUAGGCCGGGUGUGUAAGCGCAGCGAUGCGUUGAGCUAACCGGUACUAAUGAACCGUGAGGCUUAACCUUACAACGCCGAAG